AUUGAACGCUGGCGGCAGGCCUAACACAUGCAAGUCGAGCGGAUCGGCGGUCGGGUGAGUAAUGCCUAGGACUCUGCCUGGUAGUGGGGGAUAUCGUUCGGAACCGGUCGCUAAUACCGCUUCCUAUUAGCUUCGCCUAGGCCGGAUUAGCGUGUUGGUGGGGUAAAGGUCUACCAAGGCGACGACCCGUAUCUGGUCUGAGAGGAUGAUCAGUCACACUGGAACUGAGACACGGUCCAGACUCCUACGGGAGGCAGCAGUGGGGAAUAUUGGACAAUGGGCGAAAGCCUGAUGCAGCCAUGCCGCGUGUGUGAAGAAGGUCUUCGGAUUGUAAAGCACUUUAAGUUGGGAGGCGUUACCAACAGAAUAAGCACCGGCUAACUUCGUGCCAGCAGCCGCGGUAAUUC
rnacentral:rRNA from 1 species